rnacentral:rRNA from 1 species
AGUGAACGCUGGCGGUAGGCCUAACACAUGCAAGUCGAACGGCAGCACAGUAAGAGCUUGCUCUUACGGGUGGCGAGUGGCGGACGGGUGAGGAAUACAUCGGCAUCUACUUUUUCGGGGGGGAUAACGUAGGAAAACUUACGCUAAUACCGCAUACGACCUACGGGUGAAAGCAGGGGAUCUUCGGACCUUGCGCGAUUGAAUGAGCCGAUGUCGGAUUAGCUAGUUGGCGGGGUAAAGGCCCACCAAGGCGACGAUCCGUAGCUGGUCUGAGAGGAUGAUCAGCCACACUGGAACUGAGACACGGUCCAGACUCCUACGGGAGGCAGCAGUGGGGAAUAUUGGACAAUGGGCGAAAGCCUGAUCCAGCCAUACCGCGUGGGUGAAGAAGGCCUUCGGGUUGUAAAGCCCUUUUGUUGGGAAAGAAAAGCAGCAGGUUAAUACCCCGCUGUUCUGACGGUACCCAAAGAAUAAGCACCGGCUAACUUCGUG